rnacentral:rRNA from 1 species
UACGUAGGGGGCGAGCGUUGUCCGGAAUGACUGGGCGUAAAGGGCGUGUAGGCGGCGAACUAAGUUUGGAGUGAAAGUCCUGCUUUCAAGGUGGGAAUUGCUUUGGAAACUGGUUUGCUUGAGUGCGGAAGAGGUAAGUGGAAUUCCCAGUGUAGCGGUGAAAUGCGUAGAGAUUGGGAGGAACACCAGUGGCGAAGGCGACUUACUGGGCCGUAACUGACGCUGAGGCGCGAAAGCGUGGGGAGCGAACAGGAUUAGAUACCCUGGUAGUCCACGCGGUAAACGAUGAAUGCUAGGUGUAGGGGGUAUCGACCCCUCCUGUGCCGGAGUAAACACAAUAAGCAUUCCGCCUGGGGAGUACGGCCGCAAGGUUGAA